AUGGCUCAAGAUAAUACCAAAUUGUGUGACUUUACCAAUACCAACAACAAUGAUUUUCUUAGCACUCCGAUUGCUCCUCUUACCGAUACUGAGUCUUGUGAAAUUAAUACUACUUUGUUGAAUCUUGUCAUGAAAGAUCAAUUCGCCGGCCUUCCUACUGAAGAUGCCGCUACCCAUCUAAAUAACUUCGUUGAUUUGUGUGAUAUGCAAAAGAAUAAAUAUGUGGACAAUGAUAUUGUUAAAUUGAAGCUAUUUCCUUUUUCGCUUAGAGAUCGUGCUAAAGCUUGGUUUUUGUCUUUGCCUAAAAAUAGUAUUGAUUCUUGGAAUAAGUGCAAAGAUGCUUUUAUCUCUAAGUAUUUUCCUCCCACUAAGAUCAUCUCUCUUAGAACCGAUAUUAUGAAUUUUAAGCAACUUGAUCAUGAACAUGUUGCAUAA
rnacentral:rRNA from 1 species